GCUCUUCUAGUAUACUGAUUACAAUUGACUUCCAAUCUCUAAAAUCUGGACCAACCCCAGAGAAGAGCA
rnacentral:tRNA from 1 species